rnacentral:rRNA from 1 species
GACGAACGCUGGCGGCGUGCUUAACACAUGCCAGUCGAACGGUGAAGCUCCAGCUUGCUGGAGUGGAUCAGUGGCGAACGGGUGAGUAACACGUGAGCAACCUGCCCCUGACUCUGGAAUAAGCGCUGGAAACGGCGUCUAAUACUGGAUACGAGAAGGGUCCGCAUGGGCACUUUCUGGAAAGUUUUUCGGUUGGGGAUGGGCUCGCGGCCUAUCAGCUUGUUGGUGAGGUAAUGGCUCACCAAGGCGACGACGGGUAGCCGGCCUGAGAGGGCGACCGGCCACACUGGGACUGAGACACGGCCCAGACUCCUACGGGAGGCAGCAGUGGGGAAUAUUGCACAAUGGGCGAAAGCCUGAUGCAGCGACGCCGCGUGAGGGAUGACGGCCUUCGGGUUGUAAACCUCUUUCAGCAGGGAGGAAGCGAAAGUGACGGUACCUGCAGAAGAAGCACCGGCUAACUACGUG